rnacentral:rRNA from 1 species
UACGUAGGGUGCAAGCGUUGUCCGGAAUUAUUGGGCGUAAAGAGCUCGUAGGCGGUCUGUCGCGUCUGCUGUGAAAACUCAGGGCUUAACCCUGAGCUUGCAGUGGGUACGGGCAGACUUGAGUUCGGUAGGGGAGUGGGGAAUUCCUGGUGUAGCGGUGAAAUGCGUAGAUAUCGUAAGGAAGACCAGUGGCGAAGGCGGGUCUCUGGGCCAUAACUGACGCUGAGAAGCGAAAGCAUGGGGGAGCGAACAGG